AAAUUGAAGAGUUUGAUCAUGGCUCAGAUUGAACGCUGGCGGCAGGCCUAACACAUGCAAGUCGAGCGGUAGCACAGAGAGCUUGCUCUCGGGUGACGAGCGGCGGACGGGUGAGUAAUGUCUGGGAAACUGCCUGAUGGAGGGGGAUAACUACUGGAAACGGUAGCUAAUACCGCAUAAUGUCGCAAGACCAAAGUGGGGGACCUUCGGGCCUCAUGCCAUCAGAUGUGCCCAGAUGGGAUUAGCUAGUAGGUGAGGUAACGGCUCACCUAGGCGACGAUCCCUAGCUGGUCUGAGAGGAUGACCAGCCACACUGGAACUGAGACACGGUCCAGACUCCUACGGGAGGCAGCAGUGGGGAAUAUUGCACAAUGGGCGCAAGCCUGAUGCAGCCAUGCCGCGUGUGUGAAGAAGGCCUUCGGGUUGUAAAGCACUUUCAGCGGGGAGGAAGGCGAUAAGGUUAAUAACCUU
rnacentral:rRNA from 1 species